ensembl:lncRNA
UCCACUAGGGCGCGCCCGACGCCUGCGCAUUGAGCUCAGGCGGGCACUCCCAGAAACACCCGCGGCGCGGCCUUUGGGCGAGCGGGUUCGAGCGGCGGAAUCCACGAACCGAGGGGAGGGUUAGUAGACUGGGCCUCCCAGCGUCCCGGCCGGCGAGCCGCAAGCUUCCUGGUGUUGGACUACAUUUCCCAGAGCCGCCGCGUCCCCAAUGCGGCUUCAUUUCCGUUUGUUCGUGCGAUUUGGGGGCCUCGCGUGGGGAGGGCAGCGUCUGGAGGAGCUUGGCCCGGCUCCCGUUGGGCGGGCGAACCCGAAAUCGGGGCUUGGACCCCAGGCGCCAGAUCCUGGAUCCUGAACUGCAGCUUCUGUCGAGAGCCCAGAAGAGGAAAAAAUGGCUGUUACACAUUCAAAACCAAAGUCCAAGCUCUGCCUUUUUCAGACUCUGUGCUUCUCUAAGAUAGGAAUCCAGAGGAGGAUUGAUCAUUUCUUGGAGCACUAAAAACCAUGGCUCAGAGAUCAGUGAUGUUCAGGGAUGUUGCCAUUGACUUCUCUCAGGAAGAGUGGGAAUGCCUGGACUCUGCUCAAAGGGAUUUGUAUAGAGAUGUGAUGUUGGAGAACUAUAGUAACUUGGUGUCACUAGUAGGUAAGGAAAUGUACCCCUAGUAUUUCAGGAUCUACCUUUGGAAUGGCUGCUUUCUUCGAUUGUUUUUAAGUAACUGAAUUGCCUCUUAUUAUUCUCAAAGGAAUGAGAAUAUUUGAAUUACUGGAAAUAGUAAUAUUUCAUAGGGCAUAUUUGCUUUCUCCAUUUUCCAGUGUAAUUAUCGCUCUUCUUUCUCUCUUAUUUGAUAAGCAAGGGGCUAGAUUUGAAUUCUGGGACACUUACAAUAUUGUCAGGAAAAACAGGCUAUGCAUUGUUAACAAUUUAGAUAUGCUAAAGGAGUUAAAAAUAUUUUGAAAAUUAGAUCCAGAAAUAUAUUGUUUUUCAGACAAUAGAAAAGCUUAUAUUAUUUACAUAGUAAUAGGGUAGAUUAGGUCAGGUAAACAAUCCAUUACAACAAAUACUUUCGCUCCUAUUUGUGUUUUGUAGUUGAAUAUUACAUUUUAAGAACUUUGUAUUGUUCUUUGAAUGAAUGUGCUAGAACCACCUUCUAUUGGAAAAUAGCUCAGGAAGAACAUGUGAUUGUCUAAGAAAGUUUGUUGGACUUUUCCUAUAACAAAAUAAGAGACAUCCUAUAUCAGUUAAAACUUUUAACAAGUGAUUUUCCAACCUAAAUGAUCACUUUAUUCUUUAGACUCUUGAAGUCCCUGUCUUUUACCCAUUCACUCCUCUUUUCUCUGAAGGCUUUAUGAAGUUACUGGUUGGUACACUGCCUUUGAGACCCAAGUCAUGUGGAAAAAAGACUUCUGACUUGAGAAGAAAAGCAAGGGCUUUUCAGCACAAUCUCUCUAAGGAAUCCCACCUAAUCCCUACUCUUCUCCCUUUUGGUCUCUUAUGAUAGUCCUUCCCACUCUCAAAGGAGGAGCUCUUCCUUUUCUCCAGUGGUAUGUAAACUUGGGAGUCAAUUCCUUUCUAGAUUUUUUUUUUUGUAUUUAGAUUUAUAUUGUCUCCCUUUAAAAUGUAUUCAUUCAUUCAAAAUAUAUUUAUUAAGAGCCUAUUCUUUACCAAGGACUAUAGUAGGUAUUGGAGAAAUGAUGAUCUAGAUAAAGUUUGUGUUCUGCUACAUUCUCUGGGAGAAAUAAAAAUAUAUGUGUUUGUGUGUAUAUAUUUACAUAUAUACAUUUAUUUAAUAAAUAUAAUAGUUUGCAGGCAACAAUAAGGAAUUUGAAAGUAAAGGAGAGUCGGCAAAUUAACUGGGGAGUAUGGAUGAGCUAUUUUAGAUAGGUAGAUUUUUAAAAAACAUCUCUAAGGAGGUAAUAUUUGAACAAAGACUUGACUGAAGUAAGGGCAGGAGUCAGGCCAGUCUGUGCAGGAACAGUAUUGCAGACAAAUGGAGUAGUAAAUGUAGAGAGUUUAGGGUGGGUGUUAACUUAGUAGGAGGAACAGAAAAGCAUAAUUAAAGAAGAGUGAAUGAUAGAGUAAUUAAGAAAUAAAUAUAAUUUGGCAACUCCAGAAAAGGAGUUCAAAUUUUAUGCUUUGAGGUGGUGCCCUCUGACUUCUGGUGAAAGAAAAUGCACAUCCUCUCUGAAGGAAAGUAAGAGGGUUUUAGAAUUCUCACAAAUUAAGAUCAACAAAAGAUGAGCUCACAAAGAUCAUCCAACCCACAAGGAAACAGGUCAUAGGUGAGUGAUAGAUAAUCUAAAGAAACAACAGAUUACAUGGCAAAUGAUUUCACAUAUUGGUAUUUUUAGAUAUAAAUACAAAAUGUUGGUGAAAUGUUUAAAGAAAUAAGCUAAAUCACAAAAAUAACAAGCAAUAAGAGAUUUUCAUAGAGGGUCAGAUUUGAAAGAGAACUAAGAACAUUUCUAAAGGUUCUGUUUAGAUCUUUUUAAAAAUAAUCAUCAAUAGAUUGAUGUUUGAAUGAAAAUUGUUUUCUUUAUAAAAAGACAUAAAGAAAAUAAAAGGCCUUGAAUUGGGUGAAUAUAUUUGUAAUUCAUAUUGACAACAAUGAAAUUAAUACCUAGAAUAUAAAAAGCUUUUAUAGAUUAAGGAAAAGGAAAUAUUUUGUUUUUAAAAAGUGGGUAAAAGACAUUCAUAGGCAGUUCAAGGAAAAGGAAAUAACAAAUUGAGGAGGUAAAAGACAUAUACUCUGAAAACUAUGAAACAUUGAUGAAAGAAAUUCAAGAUAAUACAGUUGGAAAGAUACACACUGCUCAUGGAUUGGAAGAAUUAGUAAUUGUUAAAAUGUCCAUACUACCCAAAGCAAACCACAGAUUCAGUGCAAUACCUAACAAGAUGCCAAUAGUAUUUUUCAUAAAACUAAAGCUAAAAUAAUUAAUCUACAACAAAGGAGGCAACAAUAGCCAGUUGGGGGAAAGAGAGUCUUUUGAAUAAAUGUUUUUCUUUGUUCUGGAAAAACUGGAGAGCUACAUGCAAAGGAAUGAAACUACACUACUUUCCUACACCAUACACAAAAAUAAACUCAAAAUGGGUUUAAAACCUAAAUUUGAGACCUGAAAUCAUUAAACUAAAAGAAUACAUAGGCACUAAUCUUUUAAUAAACUCUUAGGACUAUGAAAAUAAAAAGCUUUUGUACACCAAAGGAAACCCAUGAAUAAAAUGAAAAGACAACCUACUGAAUGGGAGAAGAUAUUUACAAAUGAUAUGUCUGAUAAGGGGUUAAUAUCACUAUUUUGUUUAAAAAAAAAGGGAAAGGAAAUACAAAUAGCCAACAGACAUGAAGUGCUAUUGACUGAAUAAAUAAAUAAAAUUUUACAAGGGAUUACUAUUUAGCAAUACAACAGCCAAAACGUGAAACGACUCAGAUGUCUAGCAGCUGAUGAAUGGAUGAAUAAAAUUUGUUAUAUCUUUUUUUUUUUUUUAAUUUUUUUUUUCAACGUUUAUUUAUUUUUGGGACAGAGAGAGACAGAGCAUGAACGGGGGAGGGGCAGAGAGAGAGGGAGACACAGAAUCGGAAACAGGCUCCAGGCUCUGAGCCAUCAG